rnacentral:misc_RNA from 1 species
CCCGUGGCGGCGAACGAGGGAGCGUCUGUUAAGAGCAGUAAUCGGACGGUGGGAAAUGUGAUGAACGGAGAAGGAUGAAGGAGAGGAGAAGGAAGAGAAAGAGCGAGGAAAUCUGCAAGGGAAGAAGAAUCUGUUGCAAGCAAGAGAGGAAGAGGAUAGAGAACGAAGGAAAGCUUUUCCCUCCAUGGCAGAUUGAAUUAGAUAACCCUAAUGAAGGAGCUGCAGAGGCG